AGGGCACCACCAGGAGUGGAGCCUGCGGCUUAAUUUGACUCAACACGGGGAAACUUACCCGGCCUGGACACUGGAAGGAUUGACAGAUUGAGAGCUCUUUCUUGAUUCAGUGGGUGGUGGUGCAUGGCCGUUCUUAGUUGGUGGAGCGGUUUGUCUGGUUAAUUCCGAUAACGAACGAGACUCUAGCCUAUUAAAUAGGCUCUCGGCUUUUAAACGCCGGGAGGACUUCUUAGAGGGACAGGUGGCGGUUCAGCCGCACGAAAGAGAGCAAUAACAGGUCUGUGAUGCCCUUUGUUGUCCGGGGCCGCACGCGCGCUACACUGAAGAGAUCAGCGUGCUUUACGUUCCUGCUCCGACCGGAGUGGGGAACCCAGUGAACCUUCUUCGUGAUUGGGAUAGAAGAUUGUAAUUAUUCUUCUUGAACGAGGAAUUCCCAGUAAGCGCGAGUCAUAAGCUCGCGUUGAUUACGUCCCUGCCCUUUGUACACACCGCCCGUCGCUACUACCGAUUGAACGAUUU
rnacentral:rRNA from 1 species